AUGUUAUUGGCUGACCUCUGUAUCCGUUUUUUUUCACAAAAUAUAUUAAGGGUUAUGAUUCUGAUGCUGAAUACACCAACAUGGAUGGACUCAACAUGUAUGGAAACAUCUGAUGAUGAUGGACAACACCAAAAGACCGAAGUGCAUGAUAGGUGUCAAGAUGUGGAAGCUCCUGACACCAAGACAAAUUCCUUGUUUUCUCACAUUUUGCAGUAG
ensembl:lncRNA